rnacentral:rRNA from 1 species
AUGCUUUACGGCUUAGAACCGGGACUUCAACGACGUUUUGAACGUCAUGGAGCAUAUGAGAUGUUCCAGGAGUUGAAGUUAAUAUUUCAAAAGAAUGCCCGGAUUGAGAGAUAUGAAGUCUCCAAUAAGUUCUACAGCUGCAAGAUGGAGGAGAAUAGUUAUGUCAAUGAGCAUAUACUCAAAAUGUCUGGGUAUAAUGAUCACAUGAUUCAACUGGGAGUUAAUCUUCCGGAUGAUAGCGUCAUUGACAGAAUUCUCCAAUCACUGCCACCAAGCUACAAGAGCUUCGUGAUGAACUAUAACAUGCAAGGGAUGGAUAAGACAAUUCCCGAGCUCUUCGCAAUGCUAAAGGCUGCGGAGGUAGAAAUCAAAAAGGAGCAUCAAGUGUUGAUGGUCAAUAAGACCACCAGUUUUAAGAAAAAGGGCAAAGGGAAGAAGAAGGGGAACUUCAAGAAGAAUAGCAAGCAAGUUGCUGCUCAGGAGAAAAACCCAAGUCUGGACCUAAGCCUGAGACUGAGUGCUUCUACUGCAAGCAGACUGGUCAUUGCAAGCGGAACUGCCCCAAGUAUUUGGCGGAUAAGAAGGAUGGCAAGGUGA